rnacentral:rRNA from 1 species
GAUGAACGCUGGCGGCGUGCCUAAUACAUGCAAGUCGAGCGAACAGACGAUGAGCUUGCUCCUCUGACGUUAGCGGCGGACGGGUGAGUAACACGUGGAUCACCUACCUAUAAGACUGGGAUAACUUCGGGAAACCGGAGCUAAUACCGGAUAAUAUAUUGAACCGCAUGGUUCAAUAGUGAAAGACGGUUUUGCUGUCACUUAUAGAUGGAUCCGCGCCGCAUUAGCUAGUUGGUAAGGUAACGGCUUACCAAGGCAACGAUGCGUAGCCGACCUGAGAGGGUGAUCGGCCACACUGGAACUGAGACAGGGUCAAGACUCCUACGGGAGGCAGCAGUAGGGAAUCUGCCGCAAUGGGCGAAAGCCUGACGGAGCAACGCCGCGUGAGUGAUGAAGGUCUUCGGAUCGUAAAACUCUGUUAUUAGGGAAGAACAAAUGUGUAAGUAACUAUGCACGUCUUGACGGUACCUAAUCAGAAAGCCACGGCUAACUACGUG